rnacentral:rRNA from 1 species
UUGACCUCUGAUCAGGUAGUAAUACCCGGCUGAACUCAAGCAUAUAAACGGGGGAAAAUUUACCGAGUUACAACUCCAAACCCAAAUGUGGACGUACAACUGUUGUCCUCGGAGAGUA